rnacentral:lncRNA from 1 species
UUUUCUUCUUUUUUCUUCUUCUUAUUUAUUUCUCCUUUUCUUCCUCUCCUCUUGUUCUUUCUUUCCUCUUCUUAUUUUCUUCUUUCCUAUCCUUCUUUUCCUUCCUUUCUUAAAGCAAACCAUACAUAGAGUCACGUGCCAGAUUAUACAUACAUAGAGUCACGGGCCAGGUUAUACAUACAUAGUCACGGGCCAGGUUAUCCAAGGAGGAAGGUUAUACAUACAUAGAGUCACGGGCCAGGUGCUGUGAUUGCUGCUCUGCUCCCCGAAAGGAUUAAUGCCAUCCGCGCUUAAAGCAAACCAUACGUUCCUUGGGUCCUUUGCAAACUCACCCCAGUACUUUCUCUCGAUUUUCUCCAUCGCGACCCGUCAGCGGGUGCUCUCAACUUCCCGUCUUUCUUACGGUCCUUACUGUGCCAUCGCAUCAACUUGGCAUGCUCUCCGUUUUUGAACAGACGUUUCAACCGUGGUAUUAUAGGAGCAUCCCACAUCACCUUCGCGGGAACCCUCUUCCUGGGAUGCUCGUCGUCAACAUCACCAGGGUCAUCUCGUCUGAUCUUAUACCGCAAUGCACCACAUACCGGGCAUGCGUUCAGAUCCUUGUAUGCACCGCGGUAGAGGAUGAAGUCAUUAGGGCAUGCAUGUAUCUUCUCCACCUCCAAUCCUAGAGGGCAUACGACCUUCUUUGCUGCGUAUGUACUGUCGGGCAAUUCGUUAUCCUUUUGGAAGCUUCUUCUUCAUUAUUUUCAGUAGCUUCUCAAAUCCUUUAGUAGGCACAGCAUUCUCUGCCUUCCACUGCAGCAAUUCCAGUACGGUACCGAGCUUUGUGUUGCCAUCUUCACAAUUUGGGUACAACCCUUUUUUGUGAUCCUCUAACAUGCGAUCGAACUUCAGCUUCUCCUUUUGACUUUCACUUUGCGUCCUUGCAUCGACAAUGACCCGGUGGAGAUCAUCAUCAUCGGGCACAUCGUCUGGUUCCUCUUGAUCUUUAGCAGCUUCGCCCGUUGUAGCACCAUCGUGCACAUCGUCUGGUUCCUCUUGAUGUUCAGUACCGUCACCGUAUUCAGGGGGCACAUAGUUGUCAUCGUACUCUUCUUCUCCGCCGUCUUCCAUCAUAACCCCUAUUUCUCCGUGCCUCGUCCAAACAUUAUAGUGUGGCAUGAAACCCUUGUAAAGUAGGUGGGUGUGAAGGAUUUUCCGGUCAGAGUAAGACUUCGUAUUCCCACAUAUAGGGCAUGGACAACACAUAAAACCAUUCUGCUUGUUUGCCUCAGCCACUUUGAGAAAAUCAUGCACGCCCUUAAUGUAUUUGGAGGUGUGUCUGUCACCAUACAUCCAUUGCCGGUUCAUCUGCGUGCAUUAUAUAUAAUUAAGUGUGUCAAAAAUCAUUACAGAACAUCAUGAAUAGAUAAUUAAAUGACCAAAUUAAUAGAAGUUCAUCAUCACACCAAAACCAAAGUAUAUACAUAUAUAGUUCUCAUCUAACAACAUAAAGCUCUGCAUAGCAUCUAAAUUAAUUAAACCAUACAUUGAAACUAUGUAAAACAUUUCAAUGCGAAAACAAAUGCGAUCAUAAUUGCAACCAAGGUAACAACUGAUCCAACGGCAUAAUGAUACCAAGCCUCGGUAUGAAUGGCAUAUUUUCUAAUCUUUCUAAUCUUCAAGCGCAUUGCAUCCAUCUUGAUCUUGUGAUCAUCGACGAAAUCCGCAACAUGCAACUCCAAUAUCAUCUUCUCCUCCUCAAGUUUUUUUAUUUUUUCCUUCAAGAAAUUGUUUUCUUCUUCAACUAAAUUUAACCUCUCGACAAUAGGGUCGGUUUGAAUUUCCAGUUCAACAACCUCCUAGAUAAAUAAAAUCUAUGUCACGUUGGUCGGCAUAAUUCUCAUAAACAAUAAAUGAACCAAUAGUUAUGAAAAGAUAAUAUAUACCACAUCCGAAUCAUAGAUAGGACGAGGACCGACGGGGGCGGAUACCAAAACCACCGCACUAUAUAAGAUGCAAUAAUAAAAGUAAGAAAAUAAUACAAGUAUCUAUCUAAACAUACAAGUAAGAAUAUUUUUCCUUUCAGAAAGAAGAUAAGAACAAGAGGCUCACCACGGUGGUGCCGGCGAUGAGAUCGGCGCGGGUGAUCGACGGCGGUGAAGACGGGGACGGGGCGUGACGGAUCGCUAAACCUAGACAAAUAUUAAGGAAAAUGGAGCUUCGAGGUCGAGCUUGGAGAGGAGAAAGCUUAAGUAGUGUGGCUCGGGCAUUCCAUCGAACACCUUGUGUGCAUAGAAGGUGAGCUAGAGCACCACCAAGCCCUCUCCCCUCAGCUAAGAAAAAAAACAGAGCAGUGUGUUCUGCUCUUACGCGGGGGGUAUAUAUAGGCAACACUAUUGGUCCCGGUUCGCGGCAUGAACCGGGACUAAAGGGAAGCCAUUGGUCCCGGUUCAAGCCACCAACCGGGACCAAUGGUGGUGGGCCAGGAGCAAGACCCAUUGGUCCCCGUUCGUCCCACCAACCGGGACCAAAAGGUCCGGACGAACCGGGACCAAUGGCCCACGUGGCCCGGCCGGCCCCCUGGGCUCACGAACCGGGACAAAUACCUCCAUUGGUCCCGGUUCGUGGCAGAACCGGGACUAAUGGGCUGAACCGGUCUGGGCCAUUGCCCCCUUUUCUACUAGUGCUAAUUGCUGACAGAUAUGUAUUUUCACCAGUUAACUCAAUGCGUCAAGCAAAAUCUAGCAUUCUUUGCUGUGUACUGCAUGGAGAUGACACAGAUUGUCUGUCUUCAAUGGUAUUUUCAUGAAUACUGAUGUGUUCUAUACAACUAAUACAAUUCUCUUACAUAUUUAUUGUGAGAGAUUAUAGAUUAUACUUGGUUAGUUGCACCUUGGUAACUGUUCUGUUUUGGAAGAAUCUCUUUAGUCUUCUUUCGCUGACGAAAAUGGACUACAUUCCUUUUUAUAUCAACUCAAUUUUUCAUAAAUGUAUAUGUUUGCUCAGAUCGUAUGGCAGGUCGCGGAAAGGAUUAGAAUUAGUGUAGGUUAGGCAAGUUCCUGUUCUGUGUUUUGAAUCAUCUGUUCCACGAGAAUUUUGUUAUUCAAGAUGUGAUCAUUACUCUUUUUCCGCAUUUGGUUCAUGAUGCUUGGAUGUUGGAAGGCUUUAAUUAACUUUCUCGAAGUUACUACAUAUGGAUGACGAGGUGUAAAAUUGGAAUGAAGAAAAAGGUUUAAGAUUUCUACUUGUCUAAGCUCUCAAGACAAGUGAAAUUGAUCAUAUACCAUUAUUUGAAAGAUUAACUUAUUUAUUGAGAGAGGCAGGGAGGGAAAGAGGGGGAGGGGGAGGGAGAGAGAGGGGGGAGGGGUGGGGAGAGAUGUAUCUAUGUGUACUAAGUUGUUUUUGCUUGUUCAUUUCUGGCUUAGAUGUCAGUUGUCUUUAAUUCAUGUAGACGUAAUGUACAAUGGUUAAACACCAUUUUUCUAUGUCGUGAAAUCUUCUUAUAAAAAAUUCAAGUCUGGGUGUGUGUGGAUGGUGUGGCGAUUUGAGUCGGAUGCUCCAUUAUUAACAGUGACGGUGAGCUUGAAAGAAGAAGAAAAAGAAGCAGCAUGAGGAGGAGGAGAGCGACUUACUCCGAAAAAAUCACAAUUCCUCUUGAUGUAAAGGAGAAGAGUGACUUACCCACUAAUGAUAUACUCCCUCCAUUCUGAAAUAUAAGUCUUUUUAAAUAUUCCAAUAAGGGACUACAUACGGAUCAAAAUGAGUGAAUCUACACUAUAAAAUAUGUCUAUAUACAUCCAUAUGUUUGUAUUGAAAUCUCUAAAAAGACAUAUAUUUAAAAAUGGAGGGAGUAUAUUAGACAUAAUUGAUGUUGAACCACUAGACUAUGUGUGCCUCACGCAUGGACAGUUAUCCAAAAAAAAAGAAUCUAUACAUGUGAAAUUUGAUACAUUGUAUUCGUAGGUGUAAUAGUAGGUGUAAUAGGAAAAAAGUAAAUUAAAAGCCCGUGACAACACACGGGCAUUAUUGUUGUGUCCCAGCUGGCUGGUGUACCAUUAAUCUGGUUGUUGGGAUGCAGCGAUCGCCCAUCGAUUGCAAUUUGGAAACGAGCGCACCGUCCUGAUCAUGGAAAAGGAGAUGGAGCAGACACGAUCCACCUAUCACGCAUGGCAUGACGCUCCGUGUAUGACGUCGUGUGUCCAUCAAUCAACCAUAUAGUCGUACUGCAGUUGUUCAUAUCUAUCUUGUCAAAUUCAAGUGUUUCUCGCAUGUAUUUCCAAAUGCAUGGGCUGUCUCUAAAAAGUUAAAAUAAAUACCAGAUAUCCCUCCGGACGCCCAUGAGCAAGCUCAUCUCGUUGGCAGCAGCAGAGGCGGCAACGCUGAUGGCGGCCCCAGCAUCGACCUUGUUGCUGAUUGGUUCCUAGUGAAAGGAUAUAUUUUUUUUAUACUAAUUCAAGGAAUUAUCGUGGCCCUUGUUUUGCCUGUGAAAUAUCCGAGCAUCUUCCGGUGCUCACCAGACGGAAGGGAGGCAAGCAAAUAAUGUUGACUUUUGGCGGCCAAACGAUGAUAAUGUUAUUCUGGAAUUAAACAGCAAAACAAAAUAGAUAUUUUAGAAGCAACAAACCGAGAAUAGUCUGCUGUAGAAAAGAAAAGAAAAGAAUAUGCAAUAAUAUAGAAAAGAAAAGAAAACAGAGCAGGCUGUACGGCAAACGAAGGAAGUCCGUAGCGACAAUUGCAUGCCUUGGCACAAAAAGUCACUUUGGAACGCAUUGGAGCUCUAUUUUUUGAACUGUGUCAAAAUGCUAUUUUCGAAGUUUUAAAAAAUUCUAAAAACAAAUCAACAUGUUUAUAUGAAUGUAUAUUACACAUGUGUAAAUUUUGAUGUUGAAAUACGUAACCAUGUGAGUUACACAAAAAUGACAAAAUCGUGAUUUUGGAAAGAUGAACAGUGCAUGCAUUAUUCACUAUUUGGAAAUCACCAUUUUGUCAUUUUUGUAUAGGUCGCAUAUUUACUUAUUUCAUCACCAAACUUUACGCAUGUGUAAUAUACAUCCAUAUAAUCACAUAGAAUUUUUUUCAGAAUUUUUUGAAACCUUAAAUGUGAUUUGCAAAGUAUUUAAAAUAAGGUCCUCCAAUACACCCGGGUUCCAAAAAUCCACUCUCGCCUUGGCAUCAGGUUAGUUGAUCAUCCAUACCAUGGUGUUUUCGAAGAAUUGAUCAUCGCCUCCGUUACAUUGAAGCCACCAAAAUCAUUUGCACUUAUGUACCAGUCAUAACAUAGGAAAGUGGAGUUGUGCCGACUUGGUAGUCGAAGCAGGCGGCGAGGUGAGUUUGGGAUGCUGCAUUUUGACGUGAAGAAUCAAAGGAAGCGUUGCAGAGAGCAUGAGUGCACCACCGGUUAGAAAGGCACGAGCUGCAUCAGCAUGAAUAGUUACGCCACAUUCAGAGCAGUACACACAAGUUGUUCUCACAGACUGAAGUUUGCAACCCGGAUAUACCAGUGGAAAACCGCAAAGGUAAAUGCAUCGAUCGGCAUACUAUCGAUGUUACAUAUGAAAGACAGUGCCCUGGCAUCCAUCCUCGUCAUAUGCAAAGAAGCACAGUACAAGCAGAGAGUCUUCAUCUCCAAAAAGGACAAAAGGGAAACAUAGAGAUUGUAUUGGCAAAAGAAAGCAAAGUACUCUUUUGUUCACAAUUGCAGGUAAUCUCAUCAGACUGAUCAUCCACUCCAAAGUCCAAAGAAUAGAUUAUCAUCAGGCCAGCAGAGUUAACUGUAGCUCGAUCUGAGAUCUGGAAGCUUGCUCCAUCGUCUUCGUCCCAUAACUGAUGCCCAGAGGAUACAUGGAACUCCUGUGCCAUUCGCCGCAUAAAAACAUGACAAAUGCAUCUAAGGUCUAAGCUCAGCUUUGCAGCACAUCGGAGGUCCAUAGCAGCAAAACGUGGAAGGUUUGGCAGCACGAUAUUGUUGCUUAACAAUUAAAUGCAGCUUCGCAGUAGCAUCUUCUGCAGUACAGUCUAUAGUGUAGUGUAUUGGACCUUGAGACAACUUCCGCCCUGCCAAUUCAUAUCUACGCAGCAUUAGUCAGAUUAUGAAAAACACUACUCCCUCCGUUCCAAAAUAUAGCGCGUCCUCGGUUUCCGUGCUUCAACUUUGACCAUUAAUUUAAUCAACCAGACCGACUGCGGCGGGCGAAAAAAUUAUACCAAUGAAUUCGUAUUCAAAAAAAGUUUUUAAUUAUAUAAUUUUUGAUCCCGCCGCAGUCGGUCUCGUGGGUUAAAUUUAUGGUCAAAGUUGAACCUCGAAAAGCGUGGGCGCGCUAUAUUUUGGAACGGAGGGAGUACUUCUUUAUUGUACGUAUGGCUAAUUCAGACUGCAAAAUAGUACGUACAAUAUAACCUUUAUAUGUAGAGCAUAAAUAGCAAUGCACGUAAUAAGACAACACUGAACUGGAAUCUGAGGUUUCUUUAAUCUCUCGUAGGUACCAAUCGUCCCCUAAGUAAAACAAGAUCCGAGCGGUACCUAUGUAGCGUCAGAACUCGGAAGGCAGCAACCUGUGCGAGCCCAGCAUGUCAUCAACCAGAAAUUCGUGGUCACCGCAGAUCAUCUUCACUGUUACGGGAACAAGAAAACAAAAGAGAAGAGAGAUGUAUUAAUUUUAAGUGUAUAACAAACAUCAUCAGUAGAUAGCUACUACUACUACUACAAAACAAAACAAGACAGAAAUAGCUAGCUGACCUGUCGCUCCCUGUCUGCACAUCCGAGGAGCUCUCUCGUGCUGCUCCGUGCUCGGAAAGUACAGCUGAUGAUUCCCGCAUUGCUUCUUCCACCUCUACAACAUUUGAUCCUCCUACGGUGGUAGUACCCCGGUGUCGGAAUGACACUCGCAUCACAGGCUGGUUUGGGUGUGAUUUCACUUCCUGGUGCAGCUCAAAAUUAUUGAGCUCCCUGGAUAUUUGAUGUGAAAUCUCCUUGAUCUUUGGAAGGUGUUUGAUGCCAGUAAUCCGUACAGAGUUUUGGAAAGGUGAAAUGUAAAUAUAUCUCUGCAAUGUGGGGCAUGGUGCCCUCCUCGUCUCUCACCUUUCUCAGAUCAUUCCAGAAGUGCAUACGAAGUAUCCUGAGACUUGGAAAUGCUUCCGAUACAAACACUAGCUCCUCUCGAACAGCAUAAUUAAACGUGAGAUCAACGAGCAUCAGGUUGGGCAGUGCCCCUAGCAUCUCCAUGGUUUUUUCUCCUUCUUUUUCUACGCACCCACAGAAUAUAAUCUUCACCAAAUGCCUCAGACUACCAACCCAGCUGGGCACCUCUACAAUAUUUCCUUUCAAUCUCAGGGUCCUCACGAGGGGAGGAGCAAAGGAAACAGAACCCAGCCACUCGAUAUUGUCACCAUCCACAUGGAGAGAGUAAAGAUAAGGGAGCUUCCCAAUGGCCUCCCAGAAUAGCUUGCAUUUUUCCUCGGUUGUCCCUUCCGUAGUCACUCUCAAUUUCUGUAGCUGUGUAAGCUCACCUGUUGGCGCCGCCUCCUCACGCAGCGCCUCCUCACGCAGCGCCGCUUCUUCUUCUUGUGCUGCCUCGCACAACUCUCUUCUCUCAUGGUUUCUCUCAAGAACACAAGAACACACGCACACACACAACCAUGGAAGAUGACCCUCGGCUUUGCCCAGAACGCUCUCCCUUGGUGAGCAAAGACUACAUUAUUUUGCCUAGCCCUCACGGCCACUCUUUCUCAUUCAUCUGAUCACCUUAAAUACCAGUACAGAAAGACCCACACAUGCACUGGCCAGCCGCCACACUCGGCUGCUAACCCCAACUAAUCCGACUAACUUGCAUGCAUCCAUGCACGCACGAUCCACUCAGCCCGGCCACGCGCACGGCGCGCUCCUACACGCACGACGCGGCUGCCUCCAACGGCCCCUACUGCAUGCACUAACAAACUGGAGUCUAGCUAACUCAAACUACGUACACCAAUCACCACAGCCACCGUGUGGCUUAUUCCUAACAUCCCCAAGCUCUUCGAUUGCUCUGCUACUUGUUCUUUCGAUGUCCACGUACUCUAGUAUCUGUAACUCUUUUAAGUUACUGAUUCCUUGAGGCAACACCCUCUUUUUCUUCGCGUGCAACACUUGAAAACCAACCAGAGCAUACCAUGGGUAUACACAAAUAUAGCACCCAUAUGUUGGAAAUAUGAGCAAUUUACCAAAUGAUUUUAUUAACAGAAAUACUAGAUAAAGCAUGACUAAUAUAGCAAACAUAAAAUAAGUCAUGCGAUCUGACAGAGAGAGGGUAAAUAUCAUUUGCAUAUAUGAACUGUAACCAAGCAUAUUUAGAGUAGACAGUAGAGCAAGUUGCAUAUAUGAAAUAGAACCUAACAUAUGUAGAGCAAACACUAGAAUAAGGAACUGUGGCAGGACCUCUAACAGAAAGAGCAAGAACACGCACGGGACAGCAGCAGCAGCAGAAGCACUCGACUUGGGUCGACAUCCUCGCCAGCCAUGUUGUCAAAGAGGUUGUCGACGUCGGGCAAGAAGUUGUCGUUGGGGAAGUAGUCGUUGGUGUCCGGAGCGUCCGUGAUGAACCGGUCAGUAGUCGCGCAGCACGCUCCCCAAAAAUCUUAUCACCCUUCUCCCGUACAGAACUCAAAGAGGUGCGGUUUCGGAGGCCUACUAUCCCGACUCGCGGUGCACGCCGCAAGCCGGGAUGAGGAAGACAGUAGCAGAUCAGAGAUUCGAACAGGUGGCGAGAGGAAGUAGAAGUACUGGUGCCUUUCUCUGAGAGGAGCGACCUUCCUUUUAUAGGAGCAAGAGAAGGAGGCGAGAGGCCAGCGACAGGAGAUGAAGCAAAAGAGGGAGACGAACUAGUGAUAAACCAAGAAAUUAAAAGAUUCGGUUGCAAGAUCUAAAAAUAUACCUUCAAGCACUAACCUCCCCCCACAAUGGCACCACAAAAGAGUUAGUUGAUGAGGUGUUAGUACUGCUUACCUAGCCUCCCCGGCAACGGCGCCAGAAAAGAGCUUGAUGUCUACUAUGAAACUUUAUCCUAGUAGAUGUUGUUGGGCCUCCAAGUGUAGAGUUUUGUAGGACAGUAGCAAAUUUCCCUCAAGUGAAUGACCUAAGAUUUAACAAUCCGUGGGAGGUGCAGGAUGAAGAUGGUCUCUCUCAAACAACCCUACAACCAAAUAACAUGGAGUCUCUUGUGUACCCAACACACCAUAUAUAAUGUUAAAUUGUAUAGGUGCACUAGUCCGGCGAAGAGAUGGUGAUACAAGCGCAAUAUGGAUAGUAGAUAUAGGUUUUUGUAAUAUGAAAUUAUAAAAAUAGCAAGGUAACUAGUAGCAAAAGUGAGCAAAAACGGCAUUGCAAUGCUUCGAAACAAGGCCUAGGGUUCAUACUUUCACUAGUGCAAGUUCUCUCAACAAUUAUAACAUAAUUAAAUCAUAUAACAAUCCCUCAACGUGCAACAAAGAGUCACUCCAAAGUCAUUAAUAGCGGAGAACAAACUAAGAGAAUAUUGUAGGAUACGAAACCACCUCAAAGUUAUUCUUUCUGAUCGAUCUAUUGGGCCAUUCCUAUAAGUGUCACAAACAGCACUAGAGUUCGUCCUAAAAUAAUACCUUAAGACAAACAUCAACCAAAACCCUAAUGUCACCUAGUUACUCCAAUGUCACCACAAGUAUCCGCAGGUUUGAUUAUACGAUAUGCAUCACACAAUCUCAGAUUCAACUAUUCAAACCAACGCAAAGAAUUUUAAAGAGUGCCCCAAAGUUUCUAUCGGAGAGUCAAGACAAAAAAAUGUGCCAACCCCUAUGCAUAAGUUCACAUGGUCACAGAACCCGCAAGUUGAUCACCAAAACAUACAUCAAGUAGAUCACGUGAAUAUCCCAUUGUCACCACAGAUAAGCACAUGCAAGGCAUACAUCAAGUGAUCUCAAAUCCUUAAAGACUCAAUCCGAUAAGAUAACUUCAAAGGGAAAACUCAAUACAUUACAAGAAGGUAGAUGGGAGAAACAUCAUAACAUCCAACUAUAAUAGCAAAGCUCGUGGUACAUCAAGAUCGUGCCAAAUCAAGAACACGAGAGAGAGAGAGAGAGAUCAAACACACAGCUACUGGUACAUAUAUACCCUCAGCCCCGAGGGUGAACUACUCCCUCCUCGUGGCCACCGGUGAUUGUUUCCCCCUCCGACAGGGUGCCAGAACGGGCUCCCGAUUGAUUUUUCGUGGCUACAGAGGCUUGCGGUGGUGAAACUCCCGAUCUAGGUUUAUUUCUGGGGGUUUCUAUAUUUAUAGGAAUUUUUGGCGUCGAGGCCAAUUCAGGGGGGGGGGGUCCACGAGGAGCCCACAAGACCGGAGGGCGCCCCUAGGGGGGUAGGGAAUGCCCUCCACCCUUAUGGAGGCCUCGUGGCUCUUCUGGCCCAACUCUUUUGCCUCGGGGGCUUCUUAUGGUCCAUAAAAAGUCACCGUAAAUUUUCAGCUCAUUUGGACUCCGUUUGACAUUCCUUUUCUGCGAAACUCAAAAACAAGGAAAAAACAGAAACUGGCACUGGGCUCUAGGGGCGUGUUUGGUUGCCAUGCGCUACAGUACCGUAUUGCAUGCACUUCUCCACCCAAUCUGGCUAUGCAAAUGCAGCCUCAAAUGCACCAUCCGCAUGUUGUUUGGUUGGCUGCAUGAUCUCUUGCCUGCAUGGGCAGAGCCACACUGCCUGAUGUCUGGUUGCCUGCAUGUUAGUGGACAAACCCAAGGCAUGAUGUUUGGUUGUAUGCAACGCCUGGUGUGUGGUAACCUCUUUGUCUAGUUGGUGAGGUUACCACCACACUUCGGCAUCACACAUCAUAAGCACAGUAGAGUAUAAAAAGACAACAGAGUAUAAACAGAGCAUGAACUAGCAUAAUUCAGACAUAAGCAGUACCACACUUCAUAACAGUUCAACUCAUAAACCAUAAAUAGCAUAAUUCAGAUAAUACGCUGGAAAGAGGUGGCCCGGCCCUACUCCUUGGCGGCGAAGGCUUCGUCGUGCUUCCGGCACUUGUUGACGACCUCAAUGCCAUCAUCGUCGAAGAUGAUGACCUUGAGGGUGUCAGGAGUGAGGAGCUUGAACUUCACCAUGUAGCCGAUCUAGAUCUAAUGAACGACUGCGUAGGUGGCCCAACCCUGAUCCAGGGUCACCCUGUCGUUCAUCAGCUUGACCGUCACCUUCCAGGAGCAGCCGAUGUUAUUCCUGAGCUUAAACUCCGUCGGCACCGUGAGGAAGUGCUUGAUGAAGUCCAGGGGCAUGGGGAUGCACUCAAGCUUCGGUGCAAGGAUGACCUUGCAGAAGUGAGUUGGGCCAUCCUCCUGAUGGUAGUGGUCAUAGUUGCGGCCUUGUUGCUGGGGGGCUGCUCCAUGCCCUCGUCGUCGCCACCCUCAGGCGUCUUCGGGUCUUCCUCGGCGGUGGGCGGCAGCUCAACCUCGUCGGGCAUUGAGUGAAGGGGCUGCGUGCCCUUGCUGUCAACGGCCGGGAGCACCUCCGUGUCCUCGAUUUGCACACAAGUCAUGGAGUCAGGCAUUGCACAGAGUUCAUGGCUAAUUCAAUAGCUUGUAGUUAAAACGACAUGACUGUCACUCUCCUCCUCCUCUCCAUCCUCCCUAUAUUUACUCACCCUGCCCACCACUAUUUACACACCCCCUCUCUUCUCUCACUGUCAACCUUCCUCCUCUCCAUCGCCAUGAGCUCUAGCUCCAGCUCCAAUGCCAACCCCUUCCCUUGGGGUAUUGUCUGGAGGGCCUUCUUCCUCGGGUGGACUGCUGGUGGCCGGACCAAGUUCAAGAACACCAUGGAUGUGUGCUCGAACUUCGGCUCCAUGGCUGACAUGCAGAACGAAUCGAAUGCCGUGGUCAUGAAGGCCAGUAAAGCAGAGCUGAAGACGUUGAUUCCUGACCCAGCGAAGGGCGCGAUGGCAGUUGACAUCAUUCGCUGGGCCAUGAAUCAGGCCGUCUCCAUGACCCUAAACAGAGGAAGAAGUGGCGCAAGUAUAAGACCUACUAGGCUCCUAAUGACCGCUGUGCCGCAGUGUACUGGGAGACGGCUAUCGCGCCACCGGCGGUCAUCGGCGGGGAGCCUAAGGAGGAGGAAGAAGAGGCGGUGAACAUGCCUACUAGGGCGCCGGAGUCAGUCCUUCCUACCUGGAAGAUCGACCUCGACUCCGCCGAGGACGACAAGGACGACCCGCCGGCCCGCACGGCGAUGAAGAAGAAGAUGAAGGCCAGCGGCUCGACCAGCCGCUCCGCACGAUGGUGACGGCGGCCGCGGUCAGCCGGUGUCCGUUUUCUACCCCCUUUCCCCCUAUUCCCCUAUCCCCCAAUCCCGAAGUAUACCUUAUGCAUUCCCAUCUUGCAUGUAUGAACUCGUAUGAACUGCUAAGAACUAGUAUGAACUACCCCUAUGCUUAUUACCUCUAUUCCCCAUUCCCCUCCGCCGUGGAUCGAAUCUAUCGCCGUGGAUCGAAUCUAGCGUGCAUGUCGAAGAGAGAGAAGUUCUUACCGCCAUUGAUGGAAUCCGGUCGUCUUCUUCCUCUGCUCCGAUCCGCAGCCGCCGGUGAUGGAGUCCGGUGGUCUUCUUCCUCUGCUCCGAUCCGCCGCCGUCGGUGAGAGUUGGGAGAGUGGGGAAGAGUGGGGAGACGGAGCGGUGAGGUGCGGUGAGGCUAAUAAUUGUCGGUGCUUCGGGAAGCAAUGCGGCUUCUCGAGGGUGGCCGCGCGCGUGCAGCCACGCCCGCCCACGUGCACCGCUCGGGCCUGGCCCUGGAGAAACUACCGAUUCCUGGGUUCCCAGCGAGGCAGGCCCAGAGGUGCUUUAAGUUUCCUGCUAUGCAGGCCCAAUAGUAAAACCAGGCAACCAAACAGCCCGUUAGUUUCCCACGCGGGCCUGGUUGGGCUCGAUGCGGGCAACCAAACAUGCCCUAGGUUAAUAGGUUAGUCCCAAAAAUCAUUUAAAAUAGCAUAUAAAUGCAUACAAAACAUCCAAGAUAGAUAAUAUAAUAGCAUGGAAUAAUAAAAAAUUAUAGAUACGUUGGAGACGUAUCAGAUAGUUGAGACCAAGUCCUGCCUUGUGAUCCGCAAAAUAGAGUCCCCACUCUGUUAUGGACUAUUGGUAAUAGCAGUGUCACGAGAGCAUGCAGUAGUAAACUGAAUUAGAGUAGAUCCCAUACCACAACGCGAUGAGUAGUUGAUUCUCCAUCCUCUGUUCUCCAAGAAGUUAGUAAUCAUGGCAUUGGCACCAUGAAACUCCUCCGGGGCGAUGCUAGGAACCAACGUGGCAAUAACCCAUUCAUCACAAACCAUUGGGAGUUCUCCUCCAACAACCACGUAGCCUCUCUUCUCGCGGAGGGGACCGAGGGCAACAAUGGUGGUGCCAGGUAGGAGGUGUGGGUAAGGGUUGCACUGGUAGCACUCCAUGGGACCCAAGCUCGAGGUGGGCGGCUAUUUGCGUGGAGCAGAGGGGGUAGCAGAAGGCGAAGAAGCCAUAUCAUUUGCGGCAGUGUUUCGUAUAUGAGUAGGAGCUUGUGGUUUGGCCCAAUAUACCUGGGUAUUGUUUUGUUUAAAGAAACGAACUCUAGCGAUAUGGUUGUAUCUAAAACAAACUCGGCACCUGAUUUUAUUAUUACAGUUAAUAAGAUAAUGAUCAGGUCCAAGGCAUCGGUAACAGAACCACGUGAUGGGCCCAGGUGGAGGGACCUCCUAUAGGACGCUCGCUGCGUCAAACGGUCGACCCGUCGCACAGGGUGCACCGCGAUUGGGCUGGCCCAUUUGUAAUGCAGCGAGUGAAGUGGGAGCACGCGCCUGUACCGAUUGACACUGUAGCGGCCCGCACUGUAACAACCAGCCUUCUCUAAAAAAAGGCACUGCAGUGGACUGGCCUUCAGAGAUCUGUACUGUAUUUUUCAUAAAGACAAACAAAAAUUAGAAAGCACAAAAGUAUUUUGAAUUUGUGAAUUUUUUUUUGGAAAAAGGGAACAUUUUUUAAAUUCUGAACAAAUUUUGAAAACGCAAACAUUAUUUGAAGCUCGCCGAACAAUUUUUGAAUUUAUGAACAAAUUUUGAAAAUGAGAAUAUUUUCUGAAAUUAUGAACAAAAUUUUGAAAGUACAAACAUUUUUUGAAAUUCUGAACAUUUUUUUAAACACGAACAUUUUCAAAACGAUUUUGUUUUGGAAUUCUGAACAAAAAUUUAAAUUUUCGGAAGAAGUUCGAAAAGAAAAAUAAAAUUGAAAAAAUGAAAAAAAAACAAAACAAAAAACGAAAAUGUUCAGAAAUUCAUGAACAUUCUUUGAAAGUUACGAACAAUUUUUGAAACUGAAACAUUUUUUGAAGUCCCCAACAAUUUUUUUUAAGUUGUAAAUUUUUUGAAGUAAUACAUUCUGAACUAUGUUUUUAACACACAAAUAUUUUUGAAAAAUCUCAAACAAUUUUUGAAGAAUGCAUACUGUUUUGGAAUUUUGAAUUUUUUUUACAAACACGAACAUUUUUGAAAUUUUGAACACUGUUUUGAGAGCACGAACAUUUUCCGAAAAAUCCAAACAUUUUUUGAAAAAGAAACAAAAAAUUAAAAAACAAAAAACAAAAAAAUAAAAAAGAAAAAAGAAAAAAGAAAAAAGAAAAGGAAAACGAAACAGCAAUAGAAAAAGAAAGGAGAAUAAAAAACCGGUUCAAGAACCUUCUAGAAGGUUCCAAAAACCGGAAAAAACCAGCUGAGAACUUCUAGAAGGUUCCCAAAACCGGGAGCGUUGGAAUGUUUAAACGGGCCGGCCCGUUGCGUCGCUGCUCGCUCGCCUGUGCGAAGCGCCGGCUGUUUGACUCAACGAGCGGCAUAUAGGAUUUUCCCCAGGUGGAGCCAGGUGAGUCUCUGGCGCUACGGAUUCUGUUGGGUUGGGCUGGUUGGCUGCCCUGCCAAAAGUGAUCGGCCAACUCCUCGGUCGUUGGCCUGUGAAAGAUUCGAAAGUUGGUUGUGACCAAUGGGCUAAGAUCCGUUAUGCAUGGGAGGAGGUUGGGUGCAUGCGUGUUCAUCGUUGCGGGUGCCCAGAUCUAGAUCGUGAGUGGAGGCAGGAAUUGGAAUAUGAUUGGCACCGGUUAAGGGUGUGGUAUUAUGCUGAUGAUCAGUCUCACUAGUAUGAGAGGUGCCAUUGGCAAGUGCAUGUGUGAUGCAUUGAUAAACUUUCUUAACAGGGACAGGACGGUGCUGUUUUUACCUUCUUUUUGCGAGUCACCGUCGUCCAUUCGGCAUCUUGCUCAGAAUACCGUGAUUUUUCUUCAUAAUGCUAAUUUGCACCACCAUUACUCCAUAAGUGGAAAUAGCACUUGAACAUAGGGCAAUCAAACAGCUUCUUUCUGACCAUAUAGAAACCCACUGCCUUGGAGCAUACUGAGAAACGAUAUACUUUUCCAUGAAUAUGCAUAACUUCCAGAGAGUCAUAUGCACCACCCGUGCAUGAGGAGAGUGCAAGAAUGACAUUGAGUGGAACCACAUGGAAAGAAGAUCGGGAAAAUGACACCACCAACUUGAAACCAUAAGAAGGUGACACGGGGUUGACUGAAGACAAAAACAGAUCACGAACCUGCCCUCUGAAAUAAUGGCCAAAUGAAAAAUCCAAUUGAUGGGCGAUGGGAUGUGGAUCAUUGAAGGGAUCCAUAGGUUUGGUUUGGGGAUUUGUUGGUUGGAUGGGUGGUAUCAUGGAGCAGCGCCAUGGUCGCCUGAGGAGGGUGGGGGUGGCACUAGUAGAAAAAUGGUCAAAUGUCAAGCACAUUAGUGCCGGUUUGCUUUUGAGCCGGCACUAAUGUGUGCAUUAGUGCCGGUUCCAACGGCUAGCCGCCCGCUUUUAUUAGUACCGGUUCGUGGCCGACCUUUAGCACCGGUUCGGGUCACGAACCGGUACUAAAGUGAGUGGUGGCAGGAUUUUGUCAGUCCGGGGCCCCUGCAGCACCUUUAGUACUAGCUCGUGGCACGAACCGGUGCUAAAGGUCCUCCUACAUAAACCCUUCGUCCACCCGAGCUCGCUCUAUUCUUCCCCUUUCCCCUCUCUUCUCUGUUCUUCCCCUCUUCCUCUCGAGCUCAUCACACAUUUUGCCCAAAUUUUGUCAAGAUUUGAAGGCCCCCAUCCAUUCAAAUGAUCACAAAGGUUAGCAACUUUGUCCUUUCAUCUCUCAUUGCUAGAUUAGCUCUUGCAAUGCUUUGUAUAGUGAUUAAUUUAUGAGUUUAGUAAUUUGGGAGGAAAUAUAUGUGCUAGUAUUUGAUUUACAUGCAAUUUGAGGUAAAAAAUAACACUUAGUUUGCAUAUGUAGGUGUGGUUUACUUAGUGCAUACUAAAUCUCCGUCGUAACCACAGUCGAUCGCCCGCACCGUUCCGUCGCCAGCACCACCUUGUGGUGAGCCUCUUGUUCAUGAAUGUUUUACAUUACCAAAUUGAUGUUUGUGUGAUUUGGAUAUAUAGUUACUCGUAUAAUUAUCUUACCCGUAUGUUGUUUGUUAUACAUAGUGCCAUCGUUUUGAUAUCCGUCCCCGACGGCCCUCGUCCUUGUUAUGAUUCGGAUGUGGUAUAUUCUCUUUUAAAACUAGUUGUUGCAUUUCGUGUUUAUGACAAAUUAUGCCCAUCAAGUUGACAUAGAUAUUUUUGUCUAGGAGGUUUGUGAACCGGAAAUUCCAACCGACCCUAUUGUCGAGAGGUUAAAUUUAGUUGGAAGAGAAAACGAGUAUUUUAAAGAAAAAUUAAAAAGAAUUGAGGGGGAGAAGAUGGAAUUGGAGUUGCAUGUUGCCGAUGUCGUCGAUGAUCACAAGAUCAAGAUGGAGAAAAUGUGCUUGAAGAUUAGAAAGAUUAGAAAAUAUGCCAUUGAUAGUGAGGCUUGGUAUCAUUAUGCUGUUGGAUCAAUUGUUACCUUAGUUGCGAUCUUGAUCGCAUUUGUUGUUGCAUUUAAAUGCGUUAGCUAGAGAGUUAUUUGUUUGUUGCAUUUAAGUCUUGUAUGAACUUUAUGUAUGAACUUGUAUUAAUUUGGUCUUUUCGGUGUUGUGUAAUUAAGAUGAUCCGACAAUGGAUGUACAAUGACCGAUGCUCUCCCGAGUUCAUUAAUGGCGUGCAAACUUUUCUGCUUGUGGCUGGGGCAAACAAGCGGGCGGAUGGUUUUAUGCCUUGUCCAUGUUUAGUCUGUAAGAAUGAUCACAAUUACUCUACGUCAAGACCCAUUCAUGUCCACCUGUUUAAGUACGGUUUCAUGCCCCACUAUAAUGUUUGGACCAAGCACAGAGAAAGAGGGGUUAUGAUGGAAGACAAUGAAGAAGAAGAGGACGACGACAGCUAUCCUGGCCAUGGGUUCCCUGAAUACGGUGGUACAACAAUGGGGGAAGAAGCUGAGCUGGCAAUGCGGGAAGAAGCCGAAGAAGAGGCAUCAGAUGAGCCCGCUGAUGAUCUAGGUCGGGCCAUUGCCGAUGCAAAGAGAAACUGCGCAAGUGAUUUGAAGAAGAAGAAGAAGUUGCAGUGCAUGUUAGAGGAUCACAAGAAAUUGUUGUACCCGAAUUGCGAAGCUGACAAGAAAAAGUUGGGCACCACACUGGAAUUGCUGCAAUGGAAGGCAGAGAAUGGUGUAUCUGACAAGGGAUUUGGAAAGUUGCCGGUAAUGAUAAAUAAUAUGCUUCCAAAGGACAAUGAAUUGCCCGAGAGUACGUACGAAGCAAAGAAGGUUGUCUGCCCUCUAGGGUUAGAGGUGCAGAAUAUACAUGCAUGCCCUAAUGACUGCAUCCUCUACCGCGGUGAGUAUGAGGAUCUGAACGCUUGCCCAGUAUGCGGUGCAUUGCGCUAUAAGAUCAGGCGCGAUGACCCUGGUGAUGUCGAGCGCGAGCGCCCCAGGAAGAAGAUUCCUGCCAAGGUGAUGUGUUAUGCUCCUAUAAUACCACGGUUGAAACGUUUGUUCCAAAACAAAGAGCUUGCCAAGGCGAUGCGAUGGCACAGAGAAAACCAUAAGAAAGACGGAAAGUUGAGAGUACCCGCUAACGGGUCGCAGUGGAGAAAAAUCGAGAGAAAGUACGGGAAGGAGUUUGCAGAUGACGCAAGGAACGUAUGGUUUGGUCUAAGCGCAGAUGGCAUUAAUCCUUUUGGGGAGCAGAGCAGCAACCAUAGCACCUGGCCUGUGACUCUAUGUUUGUAUAACCUUCCUCCUUGGUUGUGCAUGAAGCGGAAGUUCGUUGUGAUGCCAGUGCUCAUCCAAGGCCCUAAGCAACCCGGCAACGACAUUGAUGUGUACCUAAGGCCAUUAGUUGAAGAACUCUUACAGCUGUGGAAUGGAACAGGUGUACGUGCGUGGGAUGAGCAAUGGGGGAAGAAUUUGACCUAAAGGCCUUGCUGUUCGUGACCAUCAAUGAUUGGCCUGCUCUCAGUAACCUUUCAGGACAGACAAACAAGGGAUACCGCGCAUGCAUGCACUGUUUAGAUGAUAGUGACAGUAUAUAUUUGGACAAUUGUAGGAAGAAUGUGUACCUCGGACAUCGUCAAUUUCUUCCGAGCAGGCAUCUCGUAAGAAAGAAAGGCAACCAUUUCAAAGGUGAGGCGGGUCACCGGACGAAGCCUCGCCACCGUACUCGUGCUGAUGUAUAUGAUAUGGUCAAGGAAUUGAAGGUAGUCUUUGGAAAGGGUCCUGGCGGACAACCUGUUCCGAAUGACGCUGACGGACGCACACCCAUGUGGAAGAAGAAAUCUAUAUUUUGGGACCUGUCCUAUUGGAAAGACCUAGAGGUCCGCUCUGCAAUUGACGUGAUGCACGUGACGAAGAAUCUUUGCGUGACCCUACUUGGCUUCUCGGGCGUGUAUGGGAAGACAAAAGAUACGCCUGAGGCACGGGAGGACCAGCAACGUAUGCAUGGAAAAGACGGCAUACAUCAGGGUCAUGCCAGCUACGCUCUUACCAAAGAAGGGAAGGAAAUAUUCUUUGAAUGCCUACUCAGCAUUAAGGUACCGUCUGGCUUCUCGUCGAAUAUAAAGGGAAUAAUAAACAUGGCAGAGAAAAAGUUCCAGAACCUAAAAUCUCAUGAAUGCCACAUGAUUAUGACGCAACUGCUUCCGGUUGCAUUGAGGGGACUUCUACCGGAUAACGUUCGAUUAGCCAUUGUGAAGCUAUGUGCAUUCCUCAAUGCAAUCUCUCAGAAGGUAAUUGAUCUAGAAAUCAUACCAAGGUUAGAGAAUGAUUUGGUGCAAUGUCUUGUCAGUUUCGAGUUGGUGUUCCCACCAUCCUUCUUCAACAUCAUGACGCACGUCCUAGUUCACCUAUGCGAAGAGAUUAACGUUUUGGGUCCUGUAUUUCUACACAACAUGUUCCCCUUUGAGAGGUUCAUGGGAGUCUUAAAGAAAUAUGUUCAUAACCGUGCUAGGCCAGAAGGAAGCAUCUCCAAGGGCCAUGAAAAUGAGGAGGUGAUUGAGUUUUGUAUUGACUUUAUUCCUGACCUUAAGCCGAUUGGUGUUCCUUAAUCGCGGCAUAAGGGCAGAUUGGAUGGAAAAGGCACGCUAGGAGGGGAUCAAAUAAUAUGUAUGGAUAGACAUUCUCUCACUGAAGCACAGUACACAGUUCUACAGAAUUCCGCCUUGGUGGCUCCGUAUAUGGAUGAACACAAGAAUUUUCUAUGCUCCAAACACCCAGAGUGGUCUGAUGACUGGAUUAUGUUGGAAAUAUGCCCUAGAGGCAAUAAUAAAUAAGUUAUUAUUAUAUUUCCUUUUUCAAGAUAAUCGUUUAUUAUCCAUGCUAUAAUUGUAUUGAUAGGAAACUCAGAUACAUGUGUGGAUACAUAAACAACAUCGUGUCCCUAGUAAGCCUCUAGUUGACUAGCUCGUUGAUCAAUAGAUGGUUACGGUUUGCUGACCAUGGACAUUGGAUGUCGUUGAUAACGAGAUCACAUCAUUAGGAGAAUGAUGCGAUGGACAAGACCCAAUCCUAAGCAUAGCUCAAAGAUCGUGUAGUUCGUUCGCUGAAGCUUUUCUAAUGUCAAAUAUCAUUUCCUUAGACCAUGAGAUUGUGCAACUCCCGGAUACCGUAGGAGUGCUUUGGGUGUGCCAAACGUCACAACGUAACUGGGUGGCUAUAAAGGUGCACUACAGGUAUCUCCGAAAGUGUCUGUUGGGUUGGCUCGAAUCGAGACUGGGAUUUGUCACUCCGUGUGACGGAGAGGUAUCUCUGGGCCCACUCGGUAGGACAUCAUCAUAAUGUGCACAAUGUGAUCAAGGAAUUGAUCACGGGAUGAUGUGUUACAUAACGAGUAAAGGGACCUGCCGGUAACGAGAUUGAACAAGGUAUCGGGAUACCGACGAUCGAAUCUCGGGCAAGUAUCGUACCGAUAGACAAAGGGAAUUGCAUACGGGAUUGAUUAAGUCCUUGACAUCGUGGUUCAUCAGAUGAGAUCAUUGUGGAGCAUGUGGGAGCCAACAUGGGUAUCCAGAUCCCGCUGUUGGUUAUUGAACGGAGAACGUCUCGGUCAUGUCUGCAUGUCUCCCGAACCCGUAGGGUCUACACACUUAAGGUUCGGUGACGCUAGAGUUGUUAUGGGAAAUAGUAUGUGGUUACCAAAGGUAGUUCGGAGUCCCGGAUGAGAUCCCGGAUGUCACUAGGAGUUCCGGAAUGGUCCGGAGGUAAAGAUUGAUAUAUUGGACGAAGGGUUUUGGAGUCCGGAAGUGUUCCGGAGGUACCGGGUGAUGACCAGCAUGACCGAAAGGUGUUUCGGGAGCCCCGACAAGUGUUGGGGGGCUUCAUGGGCCAAGGGAAGGGGGCAAACCAGCCCACUAAGGGGCUGUGCGCCCCCCUCACCUAUUCCCACAUGACCAGGGGGUUUGGGGCGCCCCAUCUAGGAUUCCCACCUCCUGGCUUGGGGGCCAAGUCACCCAAGGGGGAGAUCCCAUCUGCCCUGGCCGCCGCCCCCCCUAGGGGAAACCCUAGGGCACCUCCCCCUCCCCCUUGCCCCUAUAUAUAGUGGAGGUUUUGGGGCUGCCCAAGACACUAGAUGACCUCUUGCCUGGCGCAUCCCUCCCUCCUCCUACCUUCUCCUCUUCCUCCAUGGUGCUUGGCAAAGCCCUGCCGGAGAACCACGAGCUCCACCACCACCACGCCGUCAUGCUGACGGAGCUCUCCCUCAACUUCUCCUCUCCCCUUGCUGGAUCAAGAAGGAGGAGACAUCCCUGGGCUGUACGUGUGUUGAACACGGAGGUGCCGUCCGUUCGGCACUAGGAUCAUCGGUGAUUUGGAUCACGGCGAGUACGACUCCAUCAACCCCGUUCACUUGAACGCUUCCGCUUAGCAAUCUACAAGGGUAUGUAGAUGCACUCUCCUUCCCCUUGUUGCUAGAUUACUCCAUAGAUUGAUCUUGGUGAUGCGUAGAAAAUUUUGAAUUUCUGCUACGUUCCCCAACAGUGGUAUCAGAGCUAGGUCUAUUGCAUAGAUUCUAUGCACGAGUAGAACACAAAGUAGUUGUGGGCGUUGAUUUUGUUCAAUAUGCUUACCGUUACUAGUCCAAUCUUGAUUCGGUGGCAUUGUGGGAUGAAGCGGCCCGGACCAACCUUACACGUACGCUUACGUGAGACCGGUUCCACCGACAGACAUGCACUAGUUGCAUAAGGUGGCUGGCGGGUGUCUGUCUCUCCCACUUUAGUCGGAUCGGAUUCGAUGAAAAGGGUCCUUAUGAAGGGUAAAUAGCAAUUGGCAUAUCACGUUGUGGUCUUUGCGUAGGUAAGAAACGUUCUUGCUAGAAACCCAUAGCAGCCACGUAAAACAUGCAAACAACAAUUAGAGGACGUCUAACUUGUUUUUGCAUGGUAUGCUAUGUGAUGUGAUAUGGCCAAAGGAUGUGAUGAAUGAUAUAUGUGAUGUAUGAGAUGAUCAGGUUCUUGUAAUAGGAAUCACGACUUGCAUGUCGAUGAGUAUGACAACCGGCAGGAGCCAUAGGAGUUGUCUUUAUUUAUUUAUGACCUGCGUGUCAACUUAAACGUCAUGUAAUUACUUUACUUUAUUGCUAACCGUUAGCUGUAGAAGUAGAAGUAAUAGUUGGCGAGACAACUUCAUGAAGACACGAUGAUGGAGAUCAUGAUGAUGGAGAUCAUGGUGUCAUGCCGGUGACGAUGAUGAUCAUGGAGCCCCGAAGAUGAAGAUCAAAAGGAGCAAUAUGAUAUUGGCCAUAUCAUGUCACUAUUUGAUUGCAUGUGAUGUUUAUCAUGUUUAUACAUCUUAUUUGCUUAGAACGACGGUAGAAAAUAAGAUGAUCCCUCAUUAAAAUUUCAAGAAAGUGUUCCCCCUAACUGUGCACCGUUGCGACAGUUCAUUGUUUCGAAGCACCACGUGAUGAUCGGGUGUGAUAGAUUCUAAUGUUCACAUACAACGGGUGUAAGACAGAUUUACACACGCGAAACACUUAGGUUGACUUGACGAGCCUAGCAUGUGUACAGACAUGGCCUCGGAACACAGAAGACCGAAAGGUCGAGCAUGAGUCGUAUAGAAGAUACGAUCAACAUGAAGAUGUUCACCGAUGUUGACUAGUCCGUCUCACGUGAUGAUCGGACACGGCCUAGUUGACUCGGAUCAUGUAAUCACUUAGAUGACUAGAGGGAUGUCUAUCUGAGUGGGAGUUCAUAAGAUGAACUUAAUUAUCCUGAACAUAGUCAAAAGGUCUUCGCAAAUUAUGUCGUAGCUCGUGCUUUAGUUCUACUGUUUAGAUAUGUUCCUAGAGAAAAUUUAGUUGGAAGUUGAUAGUAGCAAUUAUGCGGGCUAGGUCCGUAAACUGAGGAUUGUCCUCAUUGCUUCAUAGAAGGCUUAUGUCCUUAAUGCACCGCUCAGUAUGCUGAACCUCGAACGUCGUCUGUGGAUGUUGCGAACAUCUGACAUACACAUUUUGAUAACUACGUGAUAGUUCAGUUAAACGGUUUAGAGUUGAGGCACCGAAGACAUUUUGAAACGUCGCGGAACAUAUGAGAUGUUUCGAGGGCUGAAAUUGGGAUUUCAGGCUCGUGCCCACGUCAAGAGGUAUAAGACCUCCGACGAUUUUCUUAGCCUGCAAACUAAGGGAGAAAAGCUCAAUUGUUGAGCUUGUGCUCAGAUUGUCUGAGUACAACAAUCAUUUGAAUCAAGCGGGAGUUGAUCUUCCAGAUGAGAUAGUGAUGUUUCUCUAAAGUCAUUGCCACCAAGCUGCUAGAGCUUCGUGAUGAACUAUAACAUAUCAGGGAUAGAUAUGAUGAUCCUUGAAAUACUCGCGAUGUUUGACACCGCGAAAGUAGAAAUCAAGAAGGAGCAUCAAUUGUUGAUGGUUAGUGAAACCACUAGUUUCAAGAAGGGCAAGGGCAAGAAGGGAUACUUCAUGAAACGGCAAAUCAGCUGCUGCUCUAGUGAAGAAACCCAAGGUUGAACCCAAACCCGAGACUAAGUGCUUCUGUGAUAAGGGGAACAGCCACUGGAGCAGAAUUGCCCUAGAUACUUGGUAGAUUAGAAGGCUGGCAAGGUCGAUAGAAGUAUAUUGGAUAUACAUUGUGUUGAUGUGUACUUUACUAGUACUCCUAGUAGCACCAGGGUAUUAGAUACCGGUUCGGUUGCUAAGUGUUAGUAACUCGAAAUAAAAGCUACGGAAUAAACGGAGAUUAGCUAAAGGUGAGCUGACGAUAUGUGUUGGAAAUGUUUCCAAUGUUGAUAUGAUCAAGCAUCGCACGCUCCCUCUACCAUCGAGAUUGGUGUUUGCGUUGAGCAUAGACAUGAUUGGAUUAUGCCUAUCGCAAUACGGUUAUUCAUUUAAGGAGAAUAAUGGUUACUCUGUUUAUUUGAAUAAUACCUUCAAUGGUCUUGCACCUAAAAUGAAUGGUUUAUUGAAUCUCAAUCGUAGUGAUACACAUGUUCAUGCCAAAAGAUAGUAAUGAUAGUACCACCUACUUGUGGCACUGCCACGUAAGUCAUAUCGGUAUAAAACGCAUGAAGAAGCUCCAUGUUGAUGGAUCUUUUGACUCACUCAUUUUUUGAAAAGUUUGAGACAUGCGAACCAUGUCUAUUGGUGUAUAUGCAUGAAGAAACUCCAUGCAGAUGGAUCGUUUGGACUCACUUGAUUUUGAAUCACUUGAGACAUGCAAAUCAUACCACAUGGGCAAGAUGACUGAAAGCCUCGUUUUCAGUAAAAUGGAACUAGAAAGCAAUUUGUUGGAAGUACUACAUUUUGAUGUGUGCAGUCCAAUGAGUGCUGAGGCAUGUAGUGGAUAUCGUUAUGUUCUUGCUUCACAGAUGAUUUGAGUAGAUGUUGAGUAUAUUUACUUGAUGAAUCACGAGUCUGAAUUAUUGAAAGGUUCAAGUAAUUUCAGUGUGAAGUUGAAAGAUCGUCGUGACAAGAGGAUAAAAGAUCUAUGAUAUGAUCAUAGAGAUGAAUAUCUGAAUUACGAGUUUGGCACAGAAUUAAGACAUUGUGGAAAUUGUUUCACAACUGAUACAGCCUGGAACACCAUAGUGUGAUGGUGUGUCCGAACAUCAUAACUGCACCCUAUUGGAUAUGAUGCAUACCAUGAUGUCUCUUAUCGAAUUACCACAAUAGUUUAUGGGUUAGGCAUUAGAGACAACCACAUUCACUUUAAUAGGGCACCACGUAAUUCCGUUGAGAUGACAUCGUAUGAACUAUGGUUUAAAGAAACCUAAGCUGUCAUUUCUUAAAAGUUUGGGGCUGCAACGCUUAUGUGAAAAAGUUUCAGGCUGAUAAGCUCGAACCCAAAGCGGAUAAAUGCAUCUUCAUAGGACACCCAAAACAGUUGGGUAUACCUCCUGUCUCAGAUCCGAAAGCAAUAAGGGAUUGUUUCUAGAAUCGGGUCCUUUCUCGAGGAAAAGUUUCUCUCGAAAGAAUUGAGUGUGAGGAUGGUGGAGACUUGAUGAGGUUAUUGAACCGUCACUUCAACUAGUGUAUAGCAGGGCACAAAGAGUUGUUCCUCUGGCACCUACACCAAUUGAAGUGGAAGCUUAUGAUAUUGAUCAUGAGACUUCGGAUCAAGUCACUCCCAAACCUCGUGGGAUGACAAGGAUGCGUACUACUUCAGAGUGGUACGUAAUCCUGUCUUGGGAGUCAUGUUGCUAGACAACAAUGAACCUACGAGCUAUGGAGAAGUGAUGAUGGGCCUGGAUUUCGAUAAAUGGCUCGAGACCAUAUAAUCCGAGAGAGGAUCCACAUAUGAAAACAAAGUGUAGACUUUGGAAGAAUUACUUGAUGGUCGUAAGGCUGUUGAGUACAGAUGGAUUUUAAAAGGAAGACGGACAAUGAUGGUAAAUGUCACCAUUAAGAAAGCUCGACUUGUCGUUAAGAAGUUUCCCGACAAGUUCAAGGAGUUGACUACGGUGAGACUUUCUCACUCGUAGCGAUGCUAAGAGUCUGUUGGAAUUAUAUUAGCGAUUACUACAUUAUUUAUGAAAUCUUGCAGAUAGGAUGUAAAAACAUUGCUUCCUCGACGUUUUUCUUGAGGAAAGGUUGUAUGUGAUACAACCGGAAGGUUUUGUCAAUCCUGAAAGAUGCUAAUAAGUAUGCAAAGCUCCAGCAAUCCUUCUGAGAACUGGAGUAAGCAUCUCGGAGUUGGAAUGUAUGUUUUGAUGAGAUGAUCAAAGAUUUUGGGUUUAUACAAAGUUUAUGAGAAACUUGUAUUUCCAAAGAAGUGAGUGGGAGCACUAUAGAAUUUCUGAUGAGUAUAUGUUGUUGACAUAUUGUUGAUCAGAAAUGACGUAGAAUUUCUGGAAAGCAUAUAGGGUUAUUUGGAAAGUGUUUUUCAAUGGAAAGCCUGGAUUAAGCUACUUGAACAUCGAGCAUCAAGAUCUAUAAGGAUAGAUCAAAAACGCUUAAUGGUACUUUCAAAUGAGCACAUACCUUGACAUGAUCUUGAAGGUGUUCAAGAUGGAUCAGUCAAAGAAGGAGUUCUUGCCUGAGUUGUAAGGUAUGAAGUUAAGACUUGAAGCCUAACCACGGCAGAAUAGAGAGAAAGGACGAAGGUCGUCCCCUAUGCUUAAGACGUAGGCUCUACAGUAUGCUAUGCUGUGUACCGCACCUGAAGUGUGCCUUGCCAUGAGUCAGUCAAGGGGUACAAGAGUGAUCCAAGAAUGGAUCACAGGACAGCGGUCAAAGUUAUCCUUAGUAACUAGUGGACUAAUGAAUUUUCUCGAUUAUGGAGGUGGUAAAAGAGUUCGUCGUAAAGGGUUACAUCGAUGCAAGCUUAACACCUAUCCGGAUAGCUUAGAGUAGAGAUACCGGAUACGUAUAAUGGAGCAACAAUUUAGAAUAGCUCCAAGUAGAACAGUUAUAUGGAAUAGCUCCAAAUAGAACGUGGUAGCUACAUCUAGGAGAUGACAUAGAGAUUUGUGAAGUACAUACGGAUCUGAUUGUUGCAGACCCGUUGACUAAAACCUCUCUCACAAGCAACAUGAUCAAACCCAGAACACAUUGAGUGUUAAUCACAUAGUGAUGUGAACUAGAUUAUUGACUCUAGUAAACUCUUUGGAUGUUGGUCACAUGGCGAUGUGACCUGUUAGUGUUAAUCACAUGGCGAUGUGAACUAGAUUAUUGACUCUAGUGCAAGUGGGAGACUGUUGGAAAUAUGCCCUAGAGGCAAUAAUAAAUAAGUUAUUAUUAUAUUUCCUUGUUCAUGAUAAUCGUUUAUUAUCCAUGCUAUAAUUGUAUUGAUAGGAAACUCAGAUACAUGUGUGGAUACUUAGACAACACCGUGUCCCUAGUAAGCCUCUAGUUGACCUGCUCAUUGAUCAAUAGAUGGUUACGGUUUCCUGACCAUGGACAUUGGAUGUCGUUGAUAACAAGAUCACAUCAUUAGGAGAAUGAUGUGAUGGACAAGACCCAAUCCUAAGCAUAGCUCAAAGAUCGUGUAGUUCGUUCGCGGAAGCUUUUCUAAUGUCAAGUAUCAUUUCCUUAGACCAUGAGAUUGUGCAACUCCCGGAUACCGUAGGAGUGCUUUGGGUGUGCCAAAUGUCACAACGUAACUGGGUGGCUAUAAAGGUGCACUACGGGUAUCUCCGAAAGUGUCUGUUGGGUUGGCUCGAAUCGAGACUGGGAUUUGUCACUCCGUGUGACGGAGAGGUAUCUUUGGGCCCACUCGGUAGGACAUCAUCAUAAUGUGCACAAUGUGAUCAAGGAGUUGAUCAUGGGAUGAUGUGUUACGGAACGAGUAAAGAGACUUGCCGGUAACGAGAUUGAACAAGGUAUCGGGAUACCGACGAUCGAAUCUCGGGCAAGUAUCGUACCGACAGACAAAGGGAAUUGCAUACGGGAUUGAUUAAGUCCUUGACAUCGUGGUUCAUGAGAUGAGAUCAUCGUGGAGCAUGUGGGAGCCAACAUGGGUAUCCAGAUCCCGCUGUUGGUUAUUGAAUGGAGAACGUCUCGGUCAUGUCUUCAUGUCUCCCGAACCCGUAGGGUCUACACACUUAAGGUUCGGUGACGCUAGAGUUGUUAUGGGAAAUAGUAUGUGGUUACCGAAGGUAGUUCAGAGUCCCGGAUGAGAUCCUGGAUGUCACAAGGAGUUCCGGAAUGGUCCGGAGGUAAAGAUUGAUAUAUUGGACGAAGGGUUUUGGAGUCCGGGAGUGUUCCGGAGGUACCGGGUGAUGACCAGCAUGACCGAAAGGUGUUUCGGGAGCCCCGACAAGUGUUGGGGGGCUUCAUGGGCCAAGGGAAGGGGGCAAACCAGCCCACUAAGGGGCUGUGCGCCCCCCUCACCUAUUCCCACGUGACCAGCGGGUUUGGGGUGCCCCAUCUAGGGUUCCCACCUCCUGGCUUGGGGGCCAAGUCACCCAAGGGGGAGAUCCCAUCUGCCCUGGCCGCCGCCCCCCCUAGGGGAAACCCUAGGGCGCCUCCCCCUCCCCCUUGCCCCUAUAUAUAGUGGAGGUUUUGGGGCUGCCCAAGACACGAGAUGACCUCUUGCCUGGCGCAGCCCUCCCUCCUCCUACCUUCUCCUCCUCCUCCAUGGUGCUUGGCGAAGCCCUGCCGGAGAACCACGAGCUCCACCACCACCACGCCGUCGUGCUGACGGGGCUCUCCCUCAACUUCUCCUCUCCCCUUGCUGGAUCAAGAAGGAGGAGACAUCCCCAGGCUGUACGUGUGUUGAACACGGAGGUGCCGUCCGUUCGGCACUAGGAUCAUCGGUGAUUUGGAUCACGGCGAGUACGACUCCAUCAACCCCGUUCACUUGAACGCUUCCGCUUAGCGAUCUACAAGGGUAUGUAGAUGCACUCUCCGUCCCCUUGUUGCUAGAUUACUCCAUAGAUUGAUCUUGGUGAUGCGUAGAAAAUUUUGAAUUUCUGCUACGUUCCCCAACAGAUUACACGUGAACAAACCAGGAGUUUCGCCGGCUAGUUGUAGACACGUACCAUGCAUGAAGCCUCUAUUGGAGAUGACCUGUACUCGCUGUCCCAGUUACCAUCUUCGAAUAUAAUGACUUGGAAAGGGUACGAGAUAAAUGGUAAUACAUUUUACACGAUCGCCGAAGAUAAGAAGAGCACCAACCAAAACAGUGGUGUCCGCUUUGAUGCAGAAACCAAGACGGGAAAGGAAACAUAUUAUGGUCACAUAGAGGCACUAGUAGAAAACGGGCCUAUUGUCCGGUUCAUAAGGGCUUUUUGUCCCGGUUCCUGAACUGGGACUAAAGGGUCGUUACUAAUGCCCUGACCCUUUAGUCCCGGUUCUAACUAGAACCGGGACAGAUGGGCCUCCACGUGGCCUGCGCACUGAGCCCAGGCAGGAGGGCCUUUGGUCUCGGUUCGUAGCACCAAUCGGGACCAAUAGGCCUCCACGCGUCAGCAUUUCUGUGGCUGGGGUUUUUUGUUUUUUUUGAAGGGGGGGGGGUUGGGGGUUUUGGGGGGUUAAUUUAGGUAUUUCAUAUAUUGUGUUAGCUAGCUAAUUAAUAGAGAGAAGUGUCCUCUCUUAUGUCCGUGCUUGGUCGACGCUACGUACUAUACAUACGUAUAGAGAGGACUAGACACGCUAGCUAGCUAGUAAGCAAACGAAGGAAACAGAAGAUCAUCAUGAACAUAUAUGCAUACAGAGAGAAGUGAUAUCGACCACCUCUCCUUCUCCGAGAGAUUGGUCGAACAACAAGUUCUCGUAUAUCUAUCGUCCGACACUACCGGCUACAUAUAUAUAAUAAUUAUCUCUUACAAAUAUAAUCUCCUACAUUAUGGAUGCAUGGUCCACAUAGUAUUCUCCGUCUUCAGCGAUCACGUGGUCAAGAAAGAAUGCCGCCAAUUCCUCUCGAAUUGCUCGCAUGCGAUCUGGUGCUAGGAGUUCAUUCCGCAUCCGAAACAUCUAAUUUGAAGAAGGGGGUCAAUACAUACAUACAUACAUAUAUAUAUAUAUAUAUAUAUAUAUAUAUAAAUGAAUGAAACUCAACACAAAUGAUGGUAAUAAAAUAAAAUUGUGAAUAUUGUUAUUUACGCACUUCAUAUUGUUCGUCAGUGUACCCGCCCUGCUCACAGGUCGUGUGGCAGAUGGACUCGCAAACGUAGUAUCCACAGAAAUCAUUCCCUUGUUCCUGCCACAACCACUUUACAAGAAAUAGAGGUCAAUCAAACUGAUAAGCAAGAAUGCCAAAUGCUAUUGAUGAAACUAGCGCUUGAAUCACUAGGAGAUGCGUGGAACAUGCUACUAUAGUACUUACUUUCGGGUGUCUAAUUUGCAGCUCCUUCGGCAGUCCCGGAGCUUUUUUGGUGAAUUUUCUCCAAACCCUGCCGAACAAAGAAAACAAUUAGUUGAUAUCAGGAAAUGAACAAAGUUGCUGAUAUGGUGGAUAAUGAUCGAUUUAACUCACUUCUUGAGGAUUUCAGUCAUGUCCGCAUACUCCUGGGGAUCUUUUCGUCUAGAGUCCAAGAUAGUUACUACUCCCUUCUAAAGAAUAAUCUCUAGGAGAAUAUAGUGGUAACUGCGCACGCAUGCAUAACUCAUCAAUUACAUUACUAUAACCUGGACUAAUAUAUAAGGGAAACCGAAUAUGCACAAGACAGUAACACUCACUUGAAGUUGUAAGGAAAGAGUAUUAUAUCUUUGUGUUCAUUUAUUUUGAAUGAUCGUAACAAGGUGGCCUCGGUUUCUUCGGGCCUUUUGUCAACCUCAUUUGCAUCUAUGAGAUAUGUGUUAACGAACCCAAUAUCACCGAUUUGUCUUUUCUUCAAUUCGGCGAUCUUCAAUCUGCAUAAUAUAGUGAGGAUAAUUAUAAAUACAUGCAAUGAAAGAGCUGAGCUAUAUAGAGAGACUUAAUGACAGAAGUAGUAGUACUUAUAGACAGUAGCAGGUGAUCGUUGUUUUAUCGAGGGCCAAUUGAUUGAAAAACUGAUAGAACUUCUCAAAUAGAAUAGGCAACAGUUCAAUUCCAAAGAGGUCCUGCUCCGGUUUAACUCUCGCAUACAAAGUACUCCUCCCCCCAGACUCUCUGCAGAUUUUCAAGUACCAAUCAUGCAAUCUUCGCAUCAUCGUUGAUAGAGAUUUUUCAUCUUUGACGAGAGGCUUCCCGUACUCGUAUCUGUGUAUCUGCACAUCCAUGGGAUCAUAAUGUACUUCGUCGGGCAGGUAAUCGUCAAGAUUGCUAUAACCGGGCACCAUCCUCGGAUCGACGCUAGGCACCUUGAGCGGGGGGCACGAUUGCUUCGCUUGUUCGCCGAGCUGGGUAAUUUGUUUCCCAACUGCUCGUCGUUCUUUCAGCCUUUGAUCACUGACUGUACUUCCCGACCGCUCUGCUUCGGCCCAUGUCUUUGCAAUAAUGCGCUCAUAGUUGCCUUUUAGCGGAGACUUGGGUGGUUUUGCCAGGGCAGCCAGAGUGCGCUUCACUUUCACCGGAUCUACCUUCUCCUCCGGAGGUGGAUGUCUCUUUGCUUUCAACCCUUGAAACCAGUCAUCCACCUCGGUUCGCGCGAUCCUCGCAUUCUCCUCCGGGGUCCUCUCAUAUGGUAACUUCUCUGGAGUCUUCAGAGAAGGACCGAAUCUGUAUGUCCUCCCGCCUCUGGCUGUACUGCUAGACGCCGGCCGAACAGACGGAGUGGCCGUCUUCUUUACUUUCUUACGAGGCGGAGGAGAAGGACUACGACGCGCCGGAGCAGCUGCCGGAGUGGCGGCGGGUAUCUUCCGCCCUUGCUGACGAGGCGGAGAAGGAGGAGGUUGGCUGCUCGGGCGCGCCGGUGCAGGCGGAGAAGGAGGCGGAGUGCCACCACGCGCCGGAGAAGGAGCCGGCCGAGGGCCCUGAUCGUCACUUGCCGGAGGAGGAGGCGGUGGAGGACGCGGAGUGCCCUGACUCGCCGGAGGAGGAGGAGGAGGCGGAGGCGUCUAGUUCGGAAGGUUGAUGAGCUCCUUCCACCAUAGGCAUGGAGUCUUCAGAGAAGAACCCAGCCGAGUCUCCCCUUCUCCGGUAGGGUAGUCAAGCUGGAGGUCCUCAAAUCCCUCCGUUAUUUCAUCCACGAUCACCUUAGCAUAUCCUUCUGGAAUCGGCCGGCAGUGAAAAGUUGCGCCGGGUUCAUUAGGAAAAACAAAGCCAACAGCCGCCUUGACCUUCAUAUUAAUCCAUUGCGUCAUAAGGUGGCAAUUUUGAGCCUCCGUGAUAGCAUCCACGGGAUAGCUGGUAGGAGCCGUCAAGACAAGCUGCGGCUGAAGCAGCUCGGUGGAAGCCACGCUGCUUCUCCGCUGAGAUGGCGGGGUAGCUUCAGGGGAAGCUUCGGCAAGUCGUUUUCUGCGAUUUGCUUCUCGUUCCUCUAUCGCUUGUACCCUUGCGUGCAGCGCCUGGAGUUCGGUCUGCUGCACUUUUUUCCUCCUCUCAUGGCUUUUGUAACCGCCUGCGUCCGGAAACCCAGCCUUCCACGGAAUGGAGCCUGGCGUGCCUCAUGUCCGUCCAGGGUGCUCAGGAUUUCCGAGGGCCUUUGUGAGCUCGUCGUUCUCUCUGUCUGGAAGGAACGUCCCUUUCUGCGCUGCAGCGAUAUAGUACCAAAGCUUCUUCAAGGGUAUGUCAAGUUGCUCAUCCGUCCAAAUGCACUUCCCUGUUACAGGGUCCAAGGUUCCGCCAGCCCCGAAGAACCAAGUCCGGCAACGGUUUGGCCAACUCAUUGUCUCUGGUUCGAUCCCUUUUUCAACCAGAUCAUUCUCAGCCUUGGCCCACUUAGGCCGGGCUACGAGGUAGCCACCUGACCCCGUGCGAUGGUGAAGCUUCUUCUUCGCAGCAUUUUUCUUGUUUGUCGCCGACAUCUUCUUACUCUUUUCCGAUGUCUUGUAGGCCACAAAUGCAGGCCAGUCAUCUCUGAUCUUCUCAUAUAUGCCCUUGAAUUCUGGUGUCUCUAUUUUCUUGACAAACCUAUUCAGGUCAUUCUUCCACCUCCUGAACAGGUCUGCCAUCCUCUUAAGAGCAAAAGACUUGAUUAAUUGCUCUUUAACUGGCUUCUCCGGAUCAUCCUCUGGCGGUAGGGUAAAAUUUGUCUUCAGCUUAGUCCAAAGAUCAUUUUUCUGCAUAUCAUUGACGUAAGACACCUCAGGGUCUUCUGUAGCCGGCUUGAACCAUUGCUGGAUGCUUAUCGGGAUCUUGUCCCUAACCAGAACCCCGCACUGAGCAACAAAUGCCUUCUUUGUUCGGAUGGGUUCAAUAGGUUGGCCGUCGGGCGCGAUUGCUAUGAUCUCAAACCUUUCAUCCGAGCUCAACUUUUUCUUCGGGCCUCAUCUCUUUACCUCAGUUGUGCUCGAUCCGGAGGGCUAGAGAAAGAGCAAAGACUUAAUUAAUAUGUGUACAUACCAAAACAAUGAAUGCAUCAAUUAGCUAGUCAGCACAGGCUUAACUAAUAUAUAUACCUGGCCGAACUCGGUUCGGUCAUCGGAGCCGUCAUCAUGGUCUCCUUCUUGCACCGGCAUUGGGUCACCGGAGCCGUCCUCACGUUCUUCUUCUUGCACCGGCAUUAGGUCACUAGAGCCAGCUUCUUCACCCUCUCCUUCCAGACCAUCGGUGUCGUUGAGAAACAACAAGACGACAUCACUUCCUUGUGCGAUUAUGUCCCUCAACAUCGCUUCGUUUGCUUCGUCUCGGGCGGUGUCCAUAGUUUCUACAAAUAUUUACAACAUGACAAUUAUUAUUCAAACAUGACAAAUGGAUAUAUUAGUGGCAAACGUAGAACUAGCUAGCUAAUCAUAGUAAGGAAUCAUAUAUAUUAAUUAGUGGCCUCGACGCUGCUUCUCUAGGGUUUGGGGUGGCCUCGACAACGCUUCAAGGGUUUGGGGUGGCCUCGAGAACGCUUCAAGGAGGGGGUAAUAUCGACCCCCCCACGUGUUGAAGCUAUCGGGAGGGGGUAUAUCGACAACGACGACACUACACCUAUGUCCCUCGAGGACCCUCGUUCCCGAUAAAAAAAAGAGGAAGAAGAAGAAAACAAAGAGGAGAUGAAAGAAUAGAGGAGAAGAACUCCUCUAUUCUUUCUUCUCCUCUUUCUUUUUCUUCUUCCUCUUCUUUUUUUAUCCUCUUCGUCCUCUCAUGUUCGAGAGGAUCGCCGAGGGGUCGGGAGGUUGCCUAGUGCCGAGCGAUCCUCGACCCCUCGAACCCUCGACCCUAGUUCCCGACCCUCGACCCCUCGGCGAUCCUCGACACCCUCGUUCCCGAUAAAAAUUAAGAAGAAGAAGAAGAAAAAAAGAAGAAAAAAGAGAGGAGAAGAUCGAAGAAAAAAAAGAAGAAAAAAAGAGGAGAAGAAGAAAGGAAUAGUGGAGAAGAAGAGAUUNNNNNNNNNNNNNNNNNNNNNNNNNNNNNNNNNNNNNNNNNNNNNNNNNNNNNNNNNNNNNNNNNNNNNNNNNNNNNNNNNNNNNNNNNNNNNNNNNNNNNNNNNNNNNNNNNNNNNNNNNNNNNNNNNNNNNNNNNNNNNNNNNNNNNNNNNNNNNNNNNNNNNNNNNNNNNNNNNNNNNNNNNNNNNNNNNNNNNNNNNNNNNNNNNNNNNNNNNNNNNNNNNNNNNNNNNNNNNNNNNNNNNNNNNNNNNNNNNNNNNNNNNNNNNNNNNNNNNNNNNNNNNNNNNNNNNNNNNNNNNNNNNNNNNNNNNNNNNNNNNNNNNNNNNNNNNNNNNNNNNNNNNNNNNNNNNNNNNNNNNNNNNNNNNNNNNNNNNNNNNNNNNNNNNNNNNNNNNNNNNNNNNNNNNNNNNNNNNNNNNNNNNNNNNNNNNNNNNNNNNNNNNNNNNNNNNNNNNNNNNNNNNNNNNNNNNNNNNNNNNNNNNNNNNNNNNNNNNNNNNNNNNNNNNNNNNNNNNNNNNNNNNNNNNNNNNNNNNNNNNNNNNNNNNNNNNNNNNNNNNNNNNNNNNNNNNNNNNNNNNNNNNNNNNNNNNNNNNNNNNNNNNNNNNNNNNNNNNNNNNNNNNNNNNNNNNNNNNNNNNNNNNNNNNNNNNNNNNNNNNNNNNNNNNNNNNNNNNNNNNNNNNNNNNNNNNNNNNNNNNNNNNNNNNNNNNNNNNNNNNNNNNNNNNNNNNNNNNNNNNNNNNNNNNNNNNNNNNNNNNNNNNNNNNNNNNNNNNNNNNNNNNNNNNNNNNNNNNNNNNNNNNNNNNNNNNNNNNNNNNNNNNNNNNNNNNNNNNNNNNNNNNNNNNNNNNNNNNNNNNNNNNNNNNNNNNNNNNNNNNNNNNNNNNNNNNNNNNNNNNNNNNNNNNNNNNNNNNNNNNNNNNNNNNNNNNNNNNNNNNNNNNNNNNNNNNNNNNNNNNNNNNNNNNNNNNNNNNNNNNNNNNNNNNNNNNNNNNNNNNNNNNNNNNNNNNNNNNNNNNNNNNNNNNNNNNNNNNNNNNNNNNNNNNNNNNNNNNNNNNNNNNNNNNNNNNNNNNNNNNNNNNNNNNNNNNNNNNNNNNNNNNNNNNNNNNNNNNNNNNNNNNNNNNNNNNNNNNNNNNNNNNNNNNNNNNNNNNNNNNNNNNNNNNNNNNNNNNNNNNNNNNNNNNNNNNNNNNNNNNNNNNNNNNNNNNNNNNNNNNNNNNNNNNNNNNNNNNNNNNNNNNNNNNNNNNNNNNNNNNNNNNNNNNNNNNNNNNNNNNNNNNNNNCGUCCCGGUUGGUGCCACCAACCGGGACCAAAGGCCACUUUUCAGCAGCCCAAAGGGCGGGAAGCGGCGGCCUUUGGUCCCGGUUGGUGGCAUCAACCGGGACUAAAGGGGUGGCAUUGGUCCCGGUUGGUGCCACGAACCGGUACCAAUGCCCCCUUUAGUCCCGGUUGGUGGCACCAACCGGGACCAAAGGCCUGUGCUGCCCCGAACCCAAAUAUUUAGUCCCACCUCGUUAGUUGAGAGGGACGCGCACCUGUUUAUAAGGUGCGGUGCGCCAUCCCUCUCGAGCUCCUCUCUAAACCAGGCUUUCGGGCCUAACACUGCAAUCUGUGCCUAUGGGCCUACUGGGCCGCCCGUGGGCCUGAAUCAUGGCCCAUGGUAGGGUUUCUAGUUUCAUUGAGGCCGUGGGGGCCCAAUAGGUGGCACUUUUUUUGUUUUUUUGUUUUUUUGUUUCUACUUAUAACUAAAUAUUUAUUGUUGCUAUAUUUAAAUUUUUUCCAGUUUUUUUGUUUUGUUUCCUGCAUUAUUUAUUUUCUUUUGUUUCUUGCUUUAUUUUUUAAUUCUUUUAGCUUUUAGUUUUAGAAAAAUUAUAAACUUUCUGUUAGUGCCAUUAGUUUUCAAAUUUGAAAACACUUUUUUAGUUUUUUAGUUUUCUUUGUUGCUUUAUUUAUUUUAUUUUGUUUCUUGCUUUAUUUUUUAAUUCUUUUUGCUUUUAGGUCAGCAAAAUUAUAAACUUUCUGUUAGUGCCAUUAUUUUUAGAAAAAAUAUAAACUUUCUGUUAGUGCCAUUAGUUUUCGAAUUUGAAUAGUUAAAAUUUGAAUUCUUUGAAAUUUGUGUGAAUCACAAGUUUGUGAUUGACUUUACUAAAAAAUGAACAUAGAUGCACCUAUAGAGAAAAUUCGACCUAAAUUCAUAGUUUUCAAAUGAACUCUGAAAAAGUUGGCAUAGCAUACUCGUCUGUUACAAAUUUGGCAUGGUAUCAUCAUAAUAGUUGCGGGAGAAAGUCUUCACUUUUUCUUCGGUUGUGUCAUUUGCUUAUUGCGCCGUAACCAUGGAUAAUCUUCAUCGUUUAUCAGGAUGCUUGGGUCAGCCUUGACAUUGAAGGGAGGAAUUUCAUGAAACCUUUCAUAAUCUUCAGACAUGUCUGUCUUGCCCUCCACUCCCAGGAUGUCCCUUUUUUCCUGAAAGAACUAUGUGGCGCUUUGGCUCAUCGUAUGAUGUAUUCGUUUCCUUAUCUUUUCUUUUUCUCAGUCUGGUAGACAUGUCCUUCACAUAGAUAACCUGUGCCACAUCAUUGGCUAGGACGAACGGUUCGUCAGUGUACCCCCAAGAUUUUUCAGAUCGACUGUUGUCAUUCCGUACUGUGGGUCUACAUGUACCCCGCCUCCUGACAGAUUGACCCAUUUGCACUUAAACAAAGGGACCUUAAAAUCUUGUCCGUAGUCAAGUUCCCAUAUGUCCACUAUGUAACCAUAAUAUGUGUCCUUUCCCUUCUCGGUUGUUGCAUCAAAGCGGACACCGCUGUUUUGGUUGGUGCUCUUUUGAUCUUGGUCAAUCGUGUAGAAUGUAUUCCCAUUUAUCUCAUAUCCUUUGUAAAUCAAUACAGUCAAAGAUGGUCCCCUGGACAACAAGUACAACUCAUCACAAACAGUGUUGUCACCUCUGAGACGUGCUUCCAACCAACUGCUGAAAGUCCUAAUGUGUUCACAUGUAAUCUAGUCGUCGCACUGCUCCGGGUGUUUGGAGCGCAGACUGUUCUUGUGUUCAUCGGCAUACGGGGUCACCAAGGUAGAGUUAUGUAGAACUCUGUAGUGUGCUUGAGACCAAGAAUGCCCGUCCCUGCAUAUUAUUGAGUCCGCUCCUAGCGUGCCUUUUCCAGUCAGUCUCCCCUCAUACCGCGAUUUAGGGAGACCUAUCUUCUUAAGGCCAGGAAUGAAGUCAACACAAAACCCGAUGACAUCCUCUGUUUGAUGGCCCAUGGAGAUGCUUCCUUCUGGCCUAGCGCGGUUACGGACAUAUUUCUUUAGCACUCUCAUGUACCUCUCAAAGGGGAACGUAUUGUGUAGAAAUACGGGCCCCAGAAUGACAAUCUCGUCGACUAGAUGAACUAGGACAUGCGUCACGAUAUUGAAGAAGGAUGGUGGGAACACCAGCUCGAAACUGACAAGACAUUGCGCCACAUCACUCCUUAGCCUUGGUACCAUUUCUGGAUCGAUCACCUUCUGAGAGAUUGCAUUGAGAAAUGCACAUAACUUCACAAUGGCUAAUCGGACGUUUUCUGGUAGAAGCCCCCUCAAUGCAACCGGAAGCAAUUGCGUCAUAAUCACGUGGCAGUCAUCAGACUUUAGGUUCUAGAACUUUUUCUCUAGGAUAUUUAUUAUUCCCUUUAUAUUCGACGAGAAGCCAGUCGGGACCUUCAUACUGAGCAGGCAUUCAAAGAAGAUUUCUUUCUCUUCUUUCGUAAGAGCGUAGCUGGCAGGACCUUCAUACUGCUUCUGAGGCAUGCCGUCUUUUUCGUGCAAACGUUGCAGGUCCUCCCGUGCCUCAGGUGUAUCUUUUGUAUUUCCAUACACGCCCAAGAAGCCUAGCAGGUUCACGUAAAGGUUCUUCGUCACGUGCAUCACGUCAAUUGAAGAGCGGACCUCUAGGUCUUUCAAGUACGGUAGGUCCCAAAAUAUAGAUGUCUUCUUCCACAUGGGUGCAUGUCCCUCAGCGUCAUUCAGAACAGCUAGUGCGCCGGGACCCUUUCCAAAGAUUACGUGUAAAUCAUUGACCAUAGCAAGUACGUGAUCACCGGUACGCAUGGCGGGCUUCUUCCUGUGAUCUGCCUCGCCUUUGAAAUGCUUGCCUUUCUGUCGACAUUGAUGGUUGGUCGGAAGAAAUCGACGAUGGCCCAGGUACACAUUCUUCCUACAAUUGUCCAGGUAUAUACUUUCAGUGUCAUCUAAACAGUGUGUGCAUGCGUGGUAUCCUUUGUUUUUCUGUCCUAAAAGGUUACUGGGAGCGGGCCAAUUGUUGAUGGUCACGAACAGCAACGCCUUUAGGUUAAAUUCCUCUUGUUCGUGCUCAUCCCACAUACGUACACCAUUUCCAUUCCACAGCUGUAAAAGUUCUUCAACCAAAGGCCUUAGGUACACAUCAAUGUCGUUGCCGGGUUGCUUAGGGCCUUGGAUGAGAACUGGCAUCAUAAUGAACUUCCGCUUCAUGCACAUCCAAGGAGGAAGGUUAUACAUACAUAGAGU